rnacentral:lncRNA from 1 species
CACACGGCAACGCCAGAUGCUUAACCCACUGAGAGAGGCCAGGGAUAGAACCUGUAACCUCAUGGUUCCUAGUUGGAUUCGUUUCUGCUGCACCAUGACGGGAACUCCCUGAGCACAAUUUUAAGAGAGCAAAAGAGAUAUUUACCACUCUAAUACUCCAACAAUUUUUGCAUUUAAAGAUAAUUUCUGAGUUACUGUAUGACUACAACAUCUAAAUAGAUAUUCCUCUUUCCUAAGAUUCUUACUUCCCUGUAAGCAACUAGCCAUACCUUGCCCUUGACCUGAAUCUUACACUUUAGAAAUAAGUGGAAUAGCAGGAACAUGUAUAAGUAAAUGCAGGUUUUCUCAUUAGUUUAAACAUAUAUAUAAUGUCUCAAUCCUAGGAAGCACACUGGGAAAAUCCCAUACUUUAUGUCACUUUGCCAAGUGCAGGCUGGUACACCAUCUUCUCUGUAACUUUGAGAUGCAAUUAGAAUGUAAGGGGGAAAACUGCAUUCCAGUUUUCACUCCCCACUGGAAUAAUGCUGGUAACAGUAACUCACCAAAGAAGAUGGGCAGAAUUUGGUCCCUUUUAGCAAUCUCUGAAAACACAAAAGACAACUUAAUCUCGUUAAAACAAAUAAUUUUUCAUAUUUUACAAGUUUUUCUUUCUCGUUUUUCUCAAAAUGUGAGUUAAAAAAAAAAAGAAAAGAAAAGAAAGAAAUGUAUAGAGCUUUUAGAUAGGAAAACACGGCCAGACGGAAACACUUUCUGGGAAAGUCUGCAGUGGAAUGGUUUUGAUAAUGAACAUGCCUAGAGAAAUAAAAUUGUGAAUGCUGUAUGUGUUGGGGGAAGAAACUCUUAUCUUCAGUUGGGUUCUGUUUCCCUUAGAGAGGCUUAUGUUACCUACAAUCAAUAGGUCUCCAAUUAAACAAGGAAGAUUUACAUAUGCUGGUGCAUUUUGGAGCUAAUGAAAUUGGUCUAACAGUUUUAAUGGGAGUAAAGCAUCGGAUAGGAGGGGAAUGUCUGAGUUCACCAUAAAUAAUUGGGCCCAGCUCCUUCAUUCUGAUCUUUAACUCCUCUACCACUGCUACCCUUGGCCUCUCCCAACUUAGGAUAAGCAGCCAUGCCAAAAUCUACCCUAUUCAGACAGGACAGACGAACAAACCUGCAAAUGCUCAUUAGAGAUAAGAAUAUGAUUGACAGACACUUUCCCUGCUGAGCAGGAUGGUAUGUGAUUCAAAACCAAAAAAUAUGUAUCCAUCUUGAGGAGAGGGGUUUUUUUUGCUGUUGUUGUUUUUGCUUUUUAGGGCUGCAUCCACAACAUAUGGAGGUUCCCAGGCUAGGGGUCACAUAAGAGCUACAGCUGCCAGCCUACACCACAGCCACAGCAACUCGGGAUCCAGGCCAACCCUGUGACCCAAACCACAGCUCAUGGCAACACCCGAUCCCCAACCCACUAGGCGAGGCCAGAGAUCGAACCGUAUCCUCAUGAAUACUAGUUGGAUUCGUUUCCACUGAACCAUGACGGGAACUCGCCAGGGUUCCCUUUUUAAUCAAGAUUGUGUUCUUCACAAAUUCGACACCACAAAAUUAAAAUCCUUUACUUCCCCUCCGAGCAGGGUAGCUAGCACAUAGUAGGUACUUGAAAAAUGGCUGAUGAUAUAAAGAUGAGUUCUUCACCUAUAAGCGGAAUAAUGGCUAUAUUACUCUCUUGCCUCCAAAUCAUCUUGUCUAGGGAAAUAGUACAGAUAAAAGUCAAGAUCAGGAUCUUAGAUGGAAAAACAAAGAGGCUAGGAGUUCCCUUGUGGUGCAGUGGGUUAAGGAGCCAGCACUGUCACUGCAGUGGUUUAGGUCACUGCUGUGGCUCCAGUUCAAUCUCUGACCCAGGAACUUCCAUAUGUCACAGGUGUGGCCAAAAAGAAAUGAAAAACAAAUAGCCUAUGUAAGUUCCUAGAAAUAAGUCUGGCAGCACCAAAGUUUUAUUUUCAGAAUUACAGUUAUUCACAUGUCAGUAACUCCUUUUGAAUUAACCUGAAGCUUUGGCUUUUGGUGAAAAAUCAGAAUCAGUUAACAUGACAGAAUGAGGAGGGGAAAUUAUUGUGACCCAAAAGCUUUAGGCUUAAAUUCAAUCCUGAGGCGAAUACCCAAAAUCUCAUUAUACGUUACCUAGUUUUAACAUUCACAGUGUAAGCAUUUCACAUUUGGUUUUGUUUUGUUCAACCCAAAUUCUCCACUGACAAAGACACUGAGCAUGUACUAAGUUCCAGGCCCUAUGCACCACUGCAAAGGGCACACAGGCACAGGCACACGCACACACACACACACACAUGUAAAAACUAGUCCCUGUUCAUAAAAGAAUCACAGCCCAAUUUGGAAGACAGAUUAUUUUAUUAUGAAACAGGAAGUGCUAAUGGGAGUACGAAGACAGUGCUACCAGGAUGCUAUGGGAACAUAGGGACAUGGCCCUUAGCCCAGCGCUGGGCUGAAAGAAGGCCUAAGUAGCACUGGUCAAUGAAAGGUGGUGAGAAUGUAUCAAUUAAAAGGAAUAAUACAAGUAAUGACUCUGUGUGUGUGUGUGUAAACAUAUGCGUAUGCGUGUGUGUGUGUGUGUGUGUGUGCAUACACAUAGAAACUUGAGAGUAGACAGACCAGGAGACAAGCUACUAUAUGUUCCUGCAAUAAACUCUCAUUUAUGGCUUUGCAUGUGCUCUUCUCUAGUUUCAAGUUUAGUUACAUCCACUGGUUCACUCAAUCCAAAAAGGUAAUUUAUUCAUGUUAAUUAUCCCACAUUUGUCCCAAUACACCUUGCCCUUAUUUAAACACUGCCGUUGUUAUCUUGGUAACAAAUGAGAACCUUCAAUAACACACAGCAUUGUGAAAGGGUCUUGUCAGAAGCAUGAGUCACUCCAUAACGCUAAGUUCCUUAAGUCCUAAAAUCCCCUCUUAAGAGUUCAGCUCCUACCUCCAAAAAGGUUCAAAGAUCCAAGGCUAAGACAUCAGAGGUUACUGAAACAUCACCCUGGUGGGAAUCUGCAGUUGGGGACUCAUUUCAAAUUUAAAGAUGAGCAAUCCUUUUUCCAGAUGUCAUCCUAAGUUAGACAAUGAGAAUCCCGAGACAAUUUCCCUCUAAAUAACAGAUUAAGAAACAGAAAAGGGUGUUAUAUUGACUCAAAGUUACAGACUCAUAAUUCUAACCUGAAUAUAUAUGUCUACAUAUAAAAUUUAAAAUAUAUAGCAUUAAUGAAGGUUGUUUACCAUUAAUGUGUUAAGUCUUACUCAUAUUUCAUGGAGAAACUGAGAGACUAGAGAAAACAGAAUCAAGGCCAAACCUAUAAAAAUGCCACGCAGGAUUACAAGUAAAGUGAGGGGAAGGAAGGAGAGAGUGGGGUGAUUCUAAAGAUCAGGAGCAAAAAACAGAGGGAUGUUCAAACGUGUUAAACUUUCAUUAUUUGGAAAUAACACACUCAAAAUAAAGGAAACAUCAGAGACUCCUAAAGUCAUCAGGUAAAUUCUGGUAACUUGUAUCCAAGUGGCUAAUUUAAUCUGAAAUCAACGUGAUUUUUUUUUUCCUGGAGGAACUAAACUGCCAACAUCCCAGGAACUCUCUCCCAGGAACUCUUAUCGAGUUUGCCUCCCUUCUCUUACUGACUGUAAAACAAAGAAAUCUGUCUUCAGUUCCAUGAUGUCCCACAUGUCACUGUGACUAAUCCCCAGCCAUUUUUAUUUACAGAGUUCAGAAUGAGUUUCUAUGACAAUCCCAUGCCAUUCUCAAUGUUACACACACAUUUUCUGCCUUUUGAAAAUAAUUACAGAACAAAUCGUUUGUUCUGCGCGCCAU